rnacentral:lncRNA from 10 species
UGGGCAGUACCAUCCCAUCAGCUGCCAGUGAGGCCAGAACAAAGCAAGCAGAAGAGAAAAGGGUGAGCAGCUUGCUCAUCACUCUCUCUGUCUUCCCGUGCUGGAUGCUUCCUUCCUCUCCUCCUGCCCUUGGACAUCAGACUUCCUGGUCUUUGGCCUUUGGACUCUGGGACUUGCACCAGCGGCCUCCUGGAGGAUUACAGGGCUUCAUCCUAAGACCGAGACCUACGCAGUCGGCUUCUCUGGUUUUGAGGCUUUUAGACUUGGACUGAGUCACACUACGGGCUUCUGUCUUUCCCCAGCUUGCCAAGAGCCUGUUGUGGGAUUUCUGCUCGUAAUCAUGAUCUUGACUGAUUUAAAAAAAAAUGAUACCAACCAGUUGGUUGCAGAUAACAGACCCUCAGGAUGGUUGGUAUUUGUGGAAUUAGCGUUCAGGCUGAGAGGGAGGGGGAACAACAGUGAAACUCCCCACGCCGACCAGCAUAGCACCUGCUGCCACCUGGUGGAACGUGGCUGAGACAAGGAACGCUGGGACCUGAAGCAGGACCUACACUUCAAACAAACAUCUGGCUUUGAAAUGUUUCCUGAAGGCAUCAAAUAAAUUGUGGCUGUCGAUGUUGUUGGCUGACUCUCCUCCUAUGAGAAUAAAAUUCAGAGACUGAUUCUGUAGGUUUCUGGUUGCAUGAUAAAUUUCAUCCUAGCCAGAUCUUCUAAGUGCAGCUGAGGGCCCUGAUGGGGAGAGUGGUGUAUUAGUUCCUCCCCUGCUGUAACAAAGCACCACUGACCUGGUGCCCACGCUCUCUUUUCUUCUG